CCGCACGGGCGGAGCGGGGCGCGGCAGCCGCGCUCGGGCAUCGCCCCGGGGCCGCGGGGUCGCCGGUGCCGCGGCGGUGCCCGCGCCCGGGGAAGUUUUGAUUGCGGUCCCGCCGGUGAUGCUCGGGAAUGCGGCGGCGGGCGAGUGCUUUUGCAGGCAGGCGUGGGGAAGGAGCGCUGCUCUGCUCGGCUCCUUCUGCUGCCUCCGCUGCACCAUCCUCCCUACUAUUCUUAUAUAUACAUAUUUUUUAUUUCUUACGGUGCCGUAAAACUUGCUUGAAACUGGGCUUGACGAUAGGCUCAGUUGUCUGGGCCUAACCCCUUGGUAAGCUCACCUGUGUGGAAAACUCUGGUCUAUCCCUCAGGCCCUGAGGCAGCAGGGAACUUUCCGCAGAGAUGGUGACAGGCUGCUCGGAGCCCCCUGUGUCCCCCCCACCCUCUCCUCUGCCUCCUCCUUCCAGGCACACGGCGCACCGCUCCAGCUCCAAGAUACGUGCCUGCCCCCGGGGACGCGGAGUCUCCAGCACCUCCCGCCCCCUAUAGCCCUGCCGAAAUAAGGUGUGUUCCCUGCUCUCGGUGCGGAGAGGAAACAAAUUGCACAUGACAGAUGCUACUCACAUCACUUAGCGCAUUGCCGGGGAGCACCAGGAGGUGCUGCAUUAAGGGCAGCAGAAGAAGCUACCAAGUGCAAGAUGUUCAGACUCAUCUGUUGAUCAGGUGGCAAGGCCUCCUUCCAAGCACUCGCUAAGCAGUUUUGCAGAGCUCAGCUCAGCAGUGAGCAGCCCACAGCUUUGAGACAGCUGGGCCACCUUCACUGCUGGGAAACUGGGAAACUUGCUGCAAGAGGUCCCUGAGACAGCGAGAGGACAGUAAGAAAUGAUGGGGUCUCCCAUGAGAAGACCAGAGAUGUCUCAGCAAGGUCUAGAUGAAACCUCCUCACAGUUGAGAUCUGGAUGGAAUCUACUGCUUGGGUGGCUGUGCCUUGCUGUCACUGCCCUGCAAGACAUGGCAGGCUUCCCCCUCUACACAGGACUUGGUUAGAAAAAAGUCUUGUGAUGGAUAAAUGAACUUUUCACAAAUGCCUCAGCCUGAAAUGCACCCUGUAUUCCUGUCCUCAGAAAAUGUUUGGGAGUCUGAGUCUCGUGCAUUAACUGGAAAUUGCACCUGCUGACUUCAAAGAGAUGAAUUAUGGAAAAAAAAUAAAGUUUACUAGCAUUAAGUUGAAA